rnacentral:rRNA from 1 species
CAAUAGCGUAUAUUAAAGUUGUUGCAGUUAAAAAGCUCGUAGUUGGAUUUGUGGCGUACGGUGUGUUCCGGGCACUUGUUGUCUGAGUAACCUGCUGUUGCCAUCCUUGGGUGGAACCUGUGUGGCAUUAGGUUGUCGUGCAGGGGAUGCCCAUCAUUUACUGUGAAAAAAUUAGAGUAUUCAAAGCAGGCUUAUGCCGUUGAAUAUAUUAGCAUGGAAUAAUGAGAUAGGACUUUUUUGCUAUUUUGUUGGUUUGCGCAAAGAGGUAAUGAUUAAUAGGGACAGUUGGGGGUAUUCGUAUUCCAUUGUCAGAGGUGAAAUUCUUGGAUUUCUGGAAGACGAACUACUGCGAAAGCAUUUACCAAGGAUGUUUUCAUUAA